AGGACGAACGCUGGCGGCGUGCUUAACACAUGCAAGUCGAGCGGAAAGGCCCUUCGGGGUACUCGAGCGGCGAACGGGUGAGUAACACGUGAGUAAUCUGCCCCUAGCUCUGGGAUAGCUCCGGGAAACCGGGAUUAAUACCGGAUACGACCACCUUAGACAUCUUUUGUGGUGGAAAGAAUUUCGGCUAGGGAUGAGCUCGCGGCCUAUCAGCUUGUUGGUGGGGUAACGCCUACCAAGGCGACGACGGGUAGCCGGCCUGAGAGGGCGACCGGCCACACUGGGACUGAGACACGGCCCAGACUCCUACGGGAGGCAGCAGUGGGAAUAUUGCGCAAUGGGCGAAAGCCUGACGCAGCGACGCCGCGUGGGGGAUGAAGGCCUUCGGGUUGUAACCCUUUCAGCAGGGACGAAGCGAAAGUGACGGUACCUGCAGAAGAAGCGCCGGCUAACUUCGCGCCAGCAGCCGC
rnacentral:rRNA from 1 species